UGCGAGUCGAGAGGGUUCGGCCCUCGGGGGACUGCUCAGUAACACGUGGAUGACCUGCCCUAAGGUGGGGCAUAACCCCGGGAAACUGGGGAUAAUACCCCAUAGGUUAGAGAUGCUGGAAUGCCCUUUAACCCAAAGCUCCGGCGCCUUAGGAUGGAUCUGCGGCCGAUUAGGUAGUUGUUGGGGUAACGGCCCAACAAGCCCGUAAUCGGUACGGGUUGUGGGAGCAAGAGCCCGGAGAUGGACUCUGAGACACGAUUCCAGGCCCUACGGGGCGCAGCAGGCGCGAAAACUUUACAAUGCGGGAAACCGUGAUAAGGGAACCCCGAGUGCCCGUUAAAAUCGGGCUGUCCAUCAGUGUAAAUAACUGGUGAAGAAAGGGCCGGGCAAGACCGGUGCCAGCCGCCGCGGUAAUACCGGCGGCUCGAGUG
rnacentral:rRNA from 1 species